CCUACGGGAGGCAGCAGUAGGGAAUAUUGGACAAUGGGCGCAAGCCUGAUCCAGCCAUCCCGCGUGAAGGAUUAAGGCCCUCUGGGUUGUAAACUUCUUUUCUCUGGGAAUAAAAACCGGUAUUCAUAUUGGCUUGAAGGUACCAGAGGAAUAAGCACCGGCUAACUCCGUGCCAGCAGCCGCGGUAAUACGGAGGGUGCAAGCGUUAUCCGGAUUCACUGGGUUUAAAGGGUGCGUAGGUGGCUUUGUAAGUCAGUGGUGAAAUGCCGCAGCUCAACUGCGGAACUGCCAUUGAUACUGCUUAGCUUGAAUCACGUCGAGGUGGAUGGAAUAAUACAUGUAGCGGUGAAAUGCUUAGAUAUGUAUUAGAACACCGAUUGCGAG
rnacentral:rRNA from 1 species